CAGACCACCAGCUAAGGUCCCAAAAUAUAUGUUAAGUGGAAAAGGAUGUGGCGUUGCCCAGACAACUAGGAUGUUGGCUUAGAAGCAGCCAUCAUUUAAAGAGUGCGUAAUAGCUCACUAGUCGAGUGACACUGCGCCGAAAAUGUACCGGGGCUAAACAUAUUACCGAAGCUGUGGAUUGUCCUUUGGACAAUGGUAGGAGAGCGUUCUAAGGGCGUUGAAGCAUGAUCGUAAGGACAUGUGGAGCGCUUAGAAGUGAGAAUGCCGGUGUGAGUAGCGAAAGACGGGUGAGAAUCCCGUCCACCGAUUGACUAAGGUUUCCAGAGGAAGGCUCGUCCGCUCUGGGUUAGUCGGGUCCUAAGCUGAGGCCGACAGGCGUAGGCGAUGGAUAACAGGUUGAUAUUCCUGUACCACCUAUAAUCGUUUUAAUCGAUGGGGGGACGCAGUAGGAUAGGCGAAGCGUGCGAUUGGAUUGCACGUCUAAGCAGUAAGGCUGAGUAUUAGGCAAAUCCGGUACUCGUUAAGGCUGAGCUGUGAUGGGGAGAAGACAUUGUGUCUUCGAGUCGUUGAUUUCACACUGCCGAGAAAAGCCUCUAGAUAGAAAAUAGGUGCCCGUACCGCAAACCGACACAGGUAGUCAAGAUGAGAAUUCUAAGGUGAGCGAGCGAACUCUCGUUAAGGAACUCGGCAAAAUGACCCCGUAACUUCGGGAGAAGGGGUGCUCUUUAGGGUUAACGCCCAGAAGAGCCGCAGUGAAUAGGCCCAAGCGACUGUUUAUCAAAAACACAGGUCUCUGCUAAACCGUAAGGUGAUGUAUAGGGGCUGACGCCUGCCCGGUGCUGGAAGGUUAAGAGGAGUGGUUAGCUUCUGCGAAGCUACGAAUCGAAGCCCCAGUAAACGGCGGCCGUAACUAUAACGGUCCUAAGGUAGCGAAAUUCCUUGUCGGGUAAGUUCCGACCCGCACGAAAGGCGUAACGAUUUGGGCACUGUCUCAACGAGAGACUCGGUGAAAUCAUAGUACCUGUGAAGAUGCAGGUUACCCGCGACAGGACGGAAAGACCCCGUGGAGCUUUACUGUAGCCUGAUAUUGAAAUUCGGCACAGCUUGUACAGGAUAGGUAGGAGCCUUUGAAACGUGAGCGCUAGCUUACGUGGAGGCGCUGGUGGGAUACUACCCUAGCUGUGUUGGCUUUCUAACCCGCACCACUUAUCGUGGUGGGAGACAGUGUCAGGCGGGCAGUUUGACUGGGGCGGUCGCCUCCUAAAAGGUAACGGAGGCGCUCAAAGGUUCCCUCAGAAUGGUUGGAAAUCAUUCAUAGAGUGUAAAGGCAUAAGGGAGCUUGACUGCGAGACCUACAAGUCGAGCAGGGUCGAAAGACGGACUUAGUGAUCCGGUGGUUCCGCAUGGAAGGGCCAUCGCUCAACGGAUAAAAGCUACCCCGGGGAUAACAGGCUUAUCUCCCCCAAGAGUUCACAUCGACGGGGAGGUUUGGCACCUCGAUGUCGGCUCAUCGCAUCCUGGGGCUGUAGUCGGUCCCAAGGGUUGGGCUGUUCGCCCAUUAAAGCGGUACGCGAGCUGGGUUCAGAACGUCGUGAGACAGUUCGGUCCCUAUCCGUCGUGGGCGUAGGAAAUUUGAGAGGAGCUGUCCUUAGUACGAGAGGACCGGGAUGGACAUACCUCUGGUGUACCAGUUGUCGUGCCAACGGCAUAGCUGGGUAGCUAUGUGUGGACGGGAUAAGUGCUGAAAGCAUCUAAGCAUGAAGCCCCCCUCAAGAUGAGAUUUCCCAACUUCGGUUAUAAGAUCCCUCAAAGAUGAUGAGGUUAAUAGGUUCGAGGUGGAAGCAUGGUGACAUGUGGAGCUGACGAAUACUAAUCGAUCGAAGACUUAAUCAAAA
rnacentral:rRNA from 1 species